rnacentral:rRNA from 1 species
UCACCUCUUCCCAUACCGAACAGAGCAGUUAAGCCCCUCAUGGCCGAUGGUACUACACAAAAAUGUGGGAGAGUAGGUAACUGCCAUAU